AUGAGGUCCAGGCGGUUAGCCACUCCGGCGUGCAUCUCCCUGCUCAUCAUAGCGGCACUCCUUUGCGCUGCCCCUGUGGCCAUCGACGCCGCGAGACAGGUCCCGAUCCCGGAUGGCGGCGGCCUUCUGAACAGCCACGACACCGCCGCCGCCUACACGACGCUGCACGAAGGGACGAGGUCCAAGACGGCGUCAACGGUCAUGGCGUGGACGGCGCAGCUACCGGCGGGGCCAAGCCCCAGGGGCCCUGGUCACUAG
rnacentral:rRNA from 1 species